rnacentral:tRNA from 1 species
GGGGAUUUAGCUCAGUGGUUGUGGCAUCUGCCUCACAAGCAGCGCAAGGUGAGUUCAAUCCCCA